CAGUUUGUUGAAGCAGAAAUUGUUGUGUAGAAGAAAAGUAGAGACAAUUGCUUGUUUUGCUGUCGCAAAAGUAAGAUCGGGGCUGUCGAUCCCGGUUUCUGUGUUUGGUGUAGUUCAUCGUCACGGCAAAGUUAAGCUGGUCACUCAUCUUGGAGGAUAUAAAAGGAGCCUACAAAGAAAGGUGGGCACUCUGAUUGCUGGAAGACUCAACCAUCAGCAUGACGGCUGAGUAGACCGAAUGGAGUCAGCCUUCUUCCAUCAUCACGACGCUAAGCCAUAGAGAGGACCGCUUGCCCGACACCAGAGCUCAGCCCAAAUCAGCCAACCCGGAGACACUACACAAUUUUACAUACAAACACACACACAUACAGUGAAUAAAUAUUGUAACCAGAAGUGCUGGAAUCGUGUACGCCAUGGCACAACUAUUUUUGAUCCACCUUUCUUCAUCAGCUCUCAACUAUUCUCGUUAUGAAUAUAAUAUAUAUUUUUC